rnacentral:sRNA from 2 species
UUAAAUUAAAUUAAAGUAAAGUAAAACAAAUUAAUAAAUAAUAAAAGAUAAAUAAAUAACCCCAGGUAAGAACCGGGAACAGAAAAAUAAUGCAGAGAGAGAGGGAGAAAGCCACAUACGCAGCCAAUGACAAGCUCCAAGCAAAACGCACUUCUCGUUGCCCUGCUUGAUUUUCCUUCUUCUGCUUUAUAUAAAACUCCCUUGAUAUUAUCACCAUCGUCGCACAAAACCUCGAAGAGUUGUUCUAGGAGAGAGAGCGGAUCCGAUUUUCAGAUACCAGGGUGUUAAUUCAGCCCAGGAUCUUCAUCUCACGACAUACAGAACAUCCAUCCAUCCAUACAUGCAUGAUUGCCUAAAGCUGGCCCGAAAACGAAGAAAGAGCUACUGGAAAAAAAUUUUUAAAAAAAAAGGGAAAAAUCAAAAUGGUGGACAGUUUGUAUGUGUAUCACUUCAACCGACAAAUAAAAGACGUGAAGGGGAGGGGAUAUGCUAUGAUAUGGUAUGAUAUGAUGGCGAUGCAACCGGAAUCUAUGCCCGCAUGUGAAGGAGCAAUUAAUUACCAUUCCCUCGUGAGAGCUUGACAGGAUUUUCCUAUUUUUGAUGGAUGGGAUGCAUGGCUAAUCGAUAAUCUUCUCACAACCUUACCUAUUUGACUAAUACCUAUGUAUUCUAUCUACAUUAGUUACCGAUAGCUACAUACAAUAAUAAUAACUAUUUCAACACACAUGGCCUUUGGUCUCUCAAUUGCACGUCACGUCAAUCAAUUUGGCAGGAGAAGAAUCCCUCCCAUCGAUAACUAUUCGCCGCAACAAGCCUC